rnacentral:rRNA from 1 species
UACAGGGGGUGCAAACGUUGCUCGGAAUCAUUGGGCGUAAAGGGCGUGUAGGCGGGAAGGAAAGUCAGAUGUGAAAUCCCUGGGCUCAACCCAGGAACUGCAUUUGAAACUCCCUUUCUUGAGUACCGGAGAGGAAGGUGGAAUUCCUGGUGUAGAGGUGAAAUUCGUAGAUAUCAGGAGGAACACCAGUGGCGAAGGCGGCCUUCUGGACGGUAACUGACGCUGAGACGCGAAAGCGUGGGGAGCAAACAGG